rnacentral:rRNA from 1 species
GAUGAACGCGGGCGGCGUGCUUAACACAUGCAAGUCGAACGAAGAUGACUAGAAUGAGAGCUUCGGCAGGAUUUCUUCUCAUCUUAGUGGCGGACGGGUGAGUAACGUGUGGGCAACCUGCCCUAUACUGGGGAAUAAUCACUGGAAACGGUGACUAAUACCGCAUGUCAUUGCGAGAGGGCAUCCUCUUGCAAGAAAGGAGUAAUUCGGUAUAGGAUGGGCCCCGCAUCUGAUUAGCUAGUUGGUGAGAUAACAGCCCACCAAGGCGACGAUCAGUAGCCGACCUGAGAGGGUGAUCGGGCCACAUUGGGGACUGAGACACGGGCCCAAACUCCUACGGGAGGCAGCAGUGGGGAAUAUUGCACAAUGGGGAAACCCUGGAUGCAGCAACGCCGCGUGAAGGAUGAAGGUUUUUCGGGAUCGGUAAACUUCUAUCAAACAGGGACGAAACAAAAUGACGGGUACCUGGAAUAAAGAAGCCCCCGGGCUAAACUACGUGCCAGCC